rnacentral:rRNA from 1 species
CAGCCGCGGUAAUACGGGGGGAUGCAAGCGUUAUCCGGAAUCAUUGGGCGUAAAGCGCCUGUAGGUUGUUUAAUAAGUCUGUUGUUAAAGACUAGGGCUUAACCCUAGAAAAGCAAUGGAAACUACUAGACUAGAGUAUGGCAGGGGUAGAGGGAAUUUCUAGUGUAGCGGUGAAAUGCGUAGAUAUUAGAAAGAACACCGGUGGCGAAAGCGCUCUACUGGACCAUUACUGACACUCAGAGGCGAAAGCUAGGGUAGCAAAAGGGAUUAGAUACCCCUGUAGUCCUAGCCGUAAACGAUGGAUACUACAUGUUGUGCAUUAUGUACAGUAUGGUAGCUAACGCGUUAAGUAUCCCGCCUGGGGAGUACGCUCGCAAGGGUGAAACUCAAAGGAAUUGACGGGGGCCCGCACAAGCGGUGGAGCAUGUGGUUUAAUUCGAUGCAGCGCGAAGAACCUUACCAGGACUUGACAUACUACAAAUUCUUUUGAGAAAAAGAAGUGCCUUCGGGAAUGUAGAUACAGGUGGUGCAUGGCUGUCGUCAGCUCGUGUCGUGAGAUGUUGGGUUAAGUCCCGCAACGAGCGCAACCCUUAUUUUUAGUUACCAAUUCGUUGGGUUCUCUAGAAAGACUGCCGGUGACAAACCGGAGGAAGGUGAGGAUGACGUCAAGUCAGCAUGCCCCUUAUGUCCUGGGCUACACACGUGCUACAAUGGUUAAGACAAAGAGUCGCGAGCUCGUGAGAGUCAGCUAAUCUCAUAAACUUAGCCCAAGUUCAGAUUGUAGGCUGCAACUCGCCUGCGUGA